UUCCGGUUGAUCCUGCCGGACCUUACUGCUAUCGGGGUGGGACUAAGACAUGCGAGUUGAGCGUCUCUAGCUAUGUUGAGACGCAGCAUACGGCUCAGUAACACGUGGCUAACCUACCCUCAGGACGGGGACAAACCCGGGAAACUGGGGCUAAUAUCCGAUAGGCGAGGAAUCCUGGAAUGGUUCUUCACCCAAAGGACAUUGGAAACAUGCUUUCUCUGUCGCCUGGGGAUGGGGCCGCGUCCGAUCAGGUUGUUGGUGAGGUAAUGGCUCACCAAGCCUUUAACCGGUACGGGCCGUGAGAGCGGUAGCCCGGAGAUGGGUACUGAGACAAGGACCCAGGCCCUACGGGGCGCAGCAGUCGCGAAAACUCCGCAAUGCACGAAAGUGUGACGGGGCUACCCCGAGUGCCGUCCGCUGAGGAUGGCUUUUCCUUGGUAUAACUAGCCGGGGGAAUAAGGAGAGGGCAAGACUGGUGUCAGCCGCCGCGGUAAUACCAGC
rnacentral:rRNA from 1 species